UACGUAGGGCGCAAGCGUUGUCCGGAAUUAUUGGGCGUAAAGAGCUCGUAGGCGGCCUGUCGCGUCUGCUGUGAAAGCCCGGGGCUUAACCCCGGGUCUGCAUUCGAUACGGGCAGGCUAGAGUGUGGUAGGGGAGAUCGGAAUUCCUGGUGUAGCGGUGAAAUGCGCCGAUAUCAGGAGGAACACCGGUGGCGAAGGCGGAUCUCUGGGCCAUUACUGACGCUGAGGAGCGAAAGCGUGGGGAGCGAACAGG
rnacentral:rRNA from 1 species